AAAGAAGUGAUUCAAACUGAUUUACGCAAAAAAAAAACAAAAACAAACAACCAUACAAAAUUAUUUAUAACAUCUCACAACAAAAUAGGAAGUGCAAAUAAGAGAAACAUACCCACCAAAUAAAAUAAGCCCACUAACUAAUUAUCCCUAUCCUAAAUUUCAAUUAAUAAAUAUAGAAAGAAAAAAAACAUUUGACUUUUCCAACCCAAUUAAAAUAUCAAAUAAAAAGGAAAAUACAAUUGGGAGCAAAAAACGCAGAGUAACGGUUUUCACAAAACCAAUUUUUGUCUCUUCUCCAAUCUCAAUCUCACGACCAAGUUAAC
rnacentral:lncRNA from 1 species